GAGUGCAAUUUUUUCCUU
rnacentral:miRNA from 1 species